UGAUCCUUGAGGUCCUUCCAACCUGAGUCCAUUCUGUGUGUGUGUGUGUGAUAACCCCGCUUGCAGCUGAGCAUAAAGGAAAUAGAAUUGCCUUGGGUUCGUUAGCACAAAGCCAGCCACACAGCUUGGUCCUAGCACAAAACCCACAGCUUCAGAGAUAGCUUGGAAAUGUGUUGAGAAAGUCAUGCUGGAAAGCAGCCAAAGCACUGCCCCCGAGAUCCAAAGAUGGAAAUACUAAAUGAUGAUCCUAUAGUUGCUUGCUUUAAAGUUCUCACCUAUGUUGGGUGCAGUCGGGUUGAUAUUACAUUGAUUGCUUGUUUAAAAGACACUGAAACCAGUGAGAUUCUGCUGGAGGAAAUACACCGACCAUUUCUGGUACGUUUAUAAAGUAUAUAUGGUUUUGAUACUGACUGCAAAGUUGAACAUCCUACAAGUCCUUACAUAAAGCCACGUAAUGGUAUUUCACACAGUCAGUAAGACUUAGAGUAAUUCUGCUAUUUCAGGUCAAUGCAGAGGAAGCUAAACACUACAAAGGAAUGGGUACACCAAACGUGCUGGAUGCACUCAGGAAAUACACGGUGAUUAAAAGAGGACAGAACUGUUUGUAGCUACCAUUCAGCUUUCAGACAGAGGACAUCACUGACCUGUCCUAUGCAUGGAAGAGGAAAAAGCAAGCUGCCUUCUUUUUCAGCUCCUAAUCUGUUUCCAACUUGGAACUGAUUGACUCCAGCUGGAUAAAGUACAACUGAGCUGCAAGAAGCUCAGACCGUGGUUUAGCUCUUCAAUAACUUGCUUCUCACUCUCACAAGGCAGGGCUGCAUACUACUCCAUCAAGUCACUGCAUUCUCUGUGAGGCUUUGGCAACUCAUAACUGCUUAAAAAUUUAAGAGAUUAUAGUGCAUUUGGCUUCAAUACAGAUUAUUGAUUUCAUAUUUUAUGAGAAAAUAUUUAAAUAAGACUUGUCUAAAAUAAAUGUAAACGUCUUUCCUCAUUUGUUCUAGGGCAGCACUGUGCACAGAGUCGAGGGAUAAUUUAGAGUUAAGGCAGUGCUGUAUCAUGCUACAACGCCAAACCCGGAGGCAUGAACAGAUGUUCAGUGAGCAUAUCUGCAAGUAAUAGUUCUGAUGUACUCCAGAAACUGGUUCUUUGUACAUGUACAUACGAGUAGUACUGUGUGCAUCAUAUUCCUGUCCCCUUCCAUGCUUCCUUGUGAAAGAGGCUGAUCAAAACCAGACUUCCAUCUGCACAUUCUGAAGGUAUUCUAUUGGUGGCAAUCCAGGUCUGACUGCUAUUUUGUUUUGUGGGGUCUCAGUCCCUUUCCUGAUAUGACCUGAUGUAAUAGGGGAAAGACGAUAGAAUCCUUUGGUAAGGAAGCCAGCAACUUAAGCAAUUCCUUAACAACUUUACAGUUCCAAGAAACAGGUAACAUUGAAAACAACAGAGGAGGCAAUGCCUGGUUUGCCAGCAGUCUGUCACCCUGACCAACUUCAACAAUCUUGAAGAUGUCAGCUUUGGAAAUAUUACCGCUCAUUCCAAAAUGAAACUCUGAACAUGCUAAACACGAAUCUGACUUGGAAGGGAUUUUCCUUCUUUGUUAUCUCUGGGCAACCCCUCCUGAAAAACUGAAAGGAAACCAAAACAAAAACCAACCCAACACACCUUCUUAACAAAAUUAAACAGGCAUAAGCGGUGGGCUUUAAGUAUGGUUCAACUUUGCAGUAUUUGUGAGCAAAACAAUAAGAUGGUAGCUGUAUUUAACACAUCCUUUCCGUUGAGAACAUGCUUCGGGUGAAAAGAGCAUUAUAGUGUUGACAAAUGAGAUUCAUUUAAUUAACAAACACUGCUGCAAAACAUUUUCAGAACUGGUUUUGAUAGUGUUAAUGACAGCCAUUUUUAUACUGGAGUAAUUUCCUAAGGAAAGCCAUCAAAACAUGGGAAACCAUCAGUCUCCUAUUCAAUAAAGGUGGCAAAAUAAAAUGGAGAAAUCUCAGUGCUGCUUGAGUGCAGAAUCUUAUGUUUGUCUUGAUGAAUUGCAUCUUGUUGUUUGGGAGACGGCCUCCCUGUAGUUGAGGUAUUCAGUAUAAUCCUGUUUUCUGGCAUCACUUGUAAUACUGCUUUUCUUGCAUCUUCCUUUUUUUUUUUUAUUAUUAUGAAAGAAUUCUGUGCAAUUCAAAAUCUGAAGAGAGUUUUUUGUGCAUCUUGCCUACGUCAUUAUCUGUGUUUCCACUGAAUAAAUCCUGAAGGCUGUAAGAAACAAAUGUUGAGUUCUACUGUAUUUAUUUAGAAAGAAUGAGUAGCCUCAUCUGAUCUACAUUCCAGCACACACAAAGGCAGUAUAAAGCAUAUUACCACUGUAAUAUGCUUGUGUUAGUAUAGCAAAACACACAUUUUUUACUGAAACAUACUUGUGAAACUUGAAGAUUAUUUACUCCCCAAAUGAAAUCUAUGUUUUACCUGUUGUUUUUGCUGGAGUUGUGCUUGCCCUGAUAAGCAAAAUACUACAUAGACAAACAGGUGUCCCUGCUCCCAAAACUUACACAAGAGAGUCACGGACAUACUAGAGGGAGCCUAACAAAGGUCCACAAAGAUGCUUCUAAGAGUAACCUUUCUUGUAAGAAAGUUCCUGCUGCAGCCAUCUGCUCCUUCUUAGAGCUACGUCAUGUUAAAUCCUUGUGUACACUGGGGCAGUGCUCAUGGCAUUGAGACAUACAAGGUUUUCCAAGUAAUCAACCAUCUUGAUAUGAGCUUUGUAAUAAUGUGGAAGACCCUCACAUUUUCUCUUUGGAUUCCCAAUCCACAUUUCUUUUUAAGGUUAGGGAGAAGAAGAAGAAAAAAAAAGUGAAUAACGUGGUUACAUUUGUCAGUUAAUGUUUCUCUUCUAACUUCCAGCUGACAUAUUUCUAUACACUCAGCUGAACAACCUUUUCUAGCUGAUUUCACUGACACAACACAGACCUCGAUCCUGAAAAUGUCCAUUUAUUUUAUUUCACAAGCCUAAGCAACCCUAUAGACUUGAAAAGAACAACUUGGACAAGGGUUUACUCAAUAGGAAAUGUUAAAUUUUUUCAGGAACAGAACUAUCUUGCUUGGGACAGAUGUAAGAAUAUGAAAUUUAAAUACUCAAGAAUGCUGUUUACAUGAAAGAAGCCCUAAGAAUAUUUAGCAAGAAGUAAAAAUGAAAAGAAGAAACUGAAACUCUUAAGUCAGAGGGAAUAUUUAAGUGCUGGACGAGGCACAGAAAACAGAAAAAUUCUUAUUUACAGCAAAAAUUGCUAAAAUAAAAGUCUUCUCUAAACUAAGUCCUUUUGUUUUCCGUUCUCAAACUACUUAUACAGAAAGUAUUUUGAGUACGGUCAACCUCAACUUGCAUGUCCAAAACAUGCCUCAAAUAGCAAAGAUAUUAUCCAUUUGAUAAUAAAGAGGAAAGGAAGGAAAGCUACCUUAGUGGAAGUUUAUUUCAGAGCCCUUAGAAGAUUAAUAUCUGGUUGAUAAAGUCAGGUAAGACUCACACAACCCCACACCCUCUUUGAAAUAAAGCUGAAGAUUUGAUCAAUUAGACGGGAUGAAUCUGUGCUAUCACUGAAAAAGCAGACAGGACUUAAUGACAAACAAACUCAUGCACACUUUGGUCUGCAUGCCUCCUUCCAGAAUUUCUUGUUAAGUUAGCAGAUCUUAAAGCAAAGCGAUACCCUUUCUCUGCUCAACCUCCUGUUUUCUUUGAGGACUUAAUAGGCCUUGACUUUCACUAAGUAGUAGAGCAUCUGCAUACACUUUCAGAGUAUGGAUAAUCUUGUUAUUUGUACCUGGGACCCAGCUCUGCUUCUCCAAACAGGCUAUUUUGAC